rnacentral:rRNA from 1 species
GAUGAACGCUGGCGGCGUGCCUAACACAUGCAAGUCGAACGGAUGCCUUUGGGCAUUAGUGGCGCACGGGUGAGUAACACGUGGUUGACCUACCCCAAAGUAGGGGAUAACGUUCCGAAAGGAAUGCUAAUACCCUAUAAGCUCCCGGAAUUUAGAAGCCUGGGAGAAAAGUUCUGGCGCUUUGGGAGGGGACUGCGGGCCAUCAGCUAGUUGGUGUGGUAACGGCGCACCAAGGCGACGACGGCUAGGGGACCUGAGAGGGUGGCCCCCCACACUGGAACUGAGACACGGUCCAGACUCCUACGGGAGGCAGCAGUGAGGAAUAUUGCACAAUGGGCGCAAGCCUGAUGCAGCGACGCCGCGUGGGUGAUGAAGGCUUUUCGGGGUCGUAAAGCCCUUUUCUAGGUGACGAGAACGGACGGUAGCCUAGGAAUAAGUGUCGGCUAACUACGUGCCAG